rnacentral:rRNA from 1 species
CCUACGGGUGGCAGCAGUGGGGAAUAUUGCACAAUGGGGGAAACCCUGAUGCAGCCAUGCCGCGUGUGUGAAGAAGGCCUUCGGGUUGUAAAGCACUUUCAGUAGGGAGGAAGAUAGUGUAGUUAACACCUGCAUUAUUUGACGUUACCUACAGAAGAAGCACCGGCUAACUCCGUGCCAGCAGCCGCGGUAAUACGGAGGGUGCGAGCGUUAAUCGGAAUUACUGGGCGUAAAGCGCAUGCAGGCGGCCUGUUAAGUCAGAUGUGAAAGCCCGGGGCUUAACCUCGGAAUUGCAUUUGAAACUGGCAGGCUAGAGUCUUGUAGAGGGGGGUAGAAUUUCAGGUGUAGCGGUGAAAUGCGUAGAGAUCUGAAGGAAUACCAGUGGCGAAGGCGGCCCCCUGGACAAAGACUGACGCUCAGAUGCGAAAGCGUGGGGAGCAAACAGGAUUAGAUACCCGCGUAGUC